rnacentral:rRNA from 1 species
CCUACGGGAGGCAGCAGUGGGGAAUCUUGCGCAAUGGGCGAAAGCCUGACGCAGCAACGCCGCGUGCGGGAUGAAGGCCUUCGGGUUGUAAACCGCUUUCAGCAGGGAAGAAAUUGACGGUACCUGCAGAAGAAGCCCCGGCCAACUACGUGCCAGCAGCCGCGGUAACACGUAGGGGGCGAGCGUUGUCCGGAUUUAUUGGGCGUAAAGAGCUCGUAGGCGGUUCGGUAAGUCGGGUGUGAAACCUCCAGGCUCAACCUGGAGACGCCACCUGAUACUGCUGUGACUAGAGUCCGGUAGGGGAGUGUGGAACUCCUGGUGUAGCGGUGAAAUGCGCAGAUAUCAGGAAGAACACCAGCGGCGAAGGCGGCACUCUGGGCCGGUACUGACGCUGAGGAGCGAAAGCGUGGGUAGCAAACAGGAUUAGAUACCCUGGUAGUCCACGCCGUAAACGUUGGGCACUAGGUGUGGGUCUCAACCAACGAGAUCCGUGCCGCAGCUAACGCAUUAAGUGCCCCGCUGGGGAGUACGGCCGCAAGGCUAAAACGUCAAAUGAAAUUGACGG